rnacentral:misc_RNA from 1 species
CUUGCAUCCUCUAGCUAAAUCAUCUCUCUGUAGUCUCUCUCUCGCUCUCUCUCUAUUAUUGUUUAUUCUCUUUGAUCUUCAGGAAUAUGGCUCAGGGAAGAGGCAGUGCAAUGGUNUCCUGUGGUUGUUGCUGCUCCAUUUUGAGAUGGGUAGUGCAGCAACUUACACUGUUGGAGGUUCUAGUGGUUGGACCUUCAAUGUUUCUGGCUGGCCUAAAGGAAAACGCUUUAGAGCUGGUGAUAUAAUUGUGUUCAACUAUAGUCCUUCAGCACACAAUGUGGUGGCAGUGGACAGGGUUGGAUACAAUUCAUGCAAAGCUCCAAAAGGUGCAAAAGUUUAUACAUCAGGGAAGGAUAGGAUCAAGCUUGUGAAGGGGCAAAACUUCUUCCUCUGCAGCUUUGUUGGGCACUGUCAGGCUGGAAUGAAAAUAGCCAUAACUGCCGUGUGAUUUAGCUGGAUAAUUAAUUAAGAUUUAGAUAUGGGAUUUUUAAUGUACUGUUAGGUUUUGGUGUUAAAAAUGUCACUGCUCUAAGUGUCUGUGCGGUGGUGUGGCUUGCUUUUGUGGGUGGGUUGGUGGCUAGCUAUGUGCAUAGGCUAGGCUGCCCAAUAAAAUAUGAAUAAUUAUUAUGAAAUAAAUAGGGGGAAAAAAGAAAAGUUUGGG